rnacentral:lncRNA from 1 species
AAGGGGGUGGGAGCAUGAGUCGUGAGGGGUGGGAGAAUUUGCUGUGUUAAAUAAGGUGGUCAGGACAGGCCUCCCAACUUGAAGCAAAGACCUGAAGGACUUGAGAGUGAACCAUGUGGAUACCCAGGGGAAGAACAUUCCAGAGCAUCAACAGCAAGUGCAAAGACCCUGAGGAAAAAAAACCCACUGACCCUUCCUCAGCCCCAACCAGAGAUGCGGAAGGGUGCGUGCUGUCCCCGAAAAUCCUGGCUGGCUGUCUCUCGACCAUGUGGCUUUCCUCACCCAGAUGUGAUACUUCCAGUUCCCCAGCCACAAAAGGAGUUUAAAGCAUCUAAGCCUCUUUGCCACGUGUUAAGAAAUGAUUCAGAAAUGUAAUCCUGGCAGAUGACAACGGAAACAUACCCAUGCGUGAAGAGCUUUUCUGCUGCUCCCUUAUGACUCCUGGGUUGGAUGAUGCCUCCUGUGUUUUCCUUCUCAAGUUCAAUUCUCUGGUGUUUCUUGGCCCCAUU